AGCGAACGCUGGCGGCAGGCCUAAUACAUGCAAGUCGAACGGCUUCUUCGGAAGCAGUGGCGGACGGGUGAGUAACGCGUGGGAACGUGCCCUUUGGUACGGAACAACUGAGGGAAACUUCAGCUAAUACCGUAUGUGCCCUUCGGGGGAAAGAUUUAUCGCCAUUGGAGCGGCCCGCGUUAGAUUAGCUAGUUGGUGGGGUAAAGGCCUACCAAGGCAACGAUCUAUAGCUGGUCUGAGAGGAUGAUCAGCCACACUGGGACUGAGACACGGCCCAGACUCCUACGGGAGGCAGCAGUAGGGAAUCUUGCGCAAUGGGCGAAAGCCUGACGCAGCCAUGCCGCGUGAGGGACGAAGGCCUUCGGGUUGUAAACCUCUGUCUGGGGGACGAGGUAAGGACGGUACCCCGGAGGAAGCCCCGGCUAACUACGUG
rnacentral:rRNA from 1 species